GUUGCCAUCAUUCAGUUGGGCACUCUAAGGGGACUGCCGGUGAUAAGCCGAGAGGAAGGUGGGGAAUGAACGUCGAAGUCCUCAUGGCCCUUACGGGCUGGGCUACACACGUGCUACAAUGGUGGUGACAGUGGGCAGCGAGACCGCGAGGUCGAGCUAAUCUCCAAAAGCCAUCUCAGUUCGGAUUGCACUCUGCAACUCGAGUGCAUGAGGUUGGAAUCGCUAGUAAUCGCGGAUCAGCAUGCCGCGGUGAAUACGUUCCCGGGCCUU
rnacentral:rRNA from 1 species